UCCUCCCUCCCUCCCGCGCCGGGCACUUCCGGGCCGGCCGGGAUCCGUCGCCGGGUUUUGGAAGCCACCGCCGCUCCCUGCGCCAGGCGCUGGGCUCUCAGCAGGGCGCGUCCGCCCACCGGCCGCGGUGGAGAGGAUGAGUUACCUCGCCUGGCGGGGAUCUCCUUCGACCCAGCCUUAAACUUUCCUUACCUAAAAAGUCCACUGAUAACGCCUCUUAAGUCGAGAGACGUAGGGUGCGAAAGGAGGCCAACUGUUUCUCCGUACGAUUUCCUUGAGGUUGUAGCAGACUAGAAAGCCAAUAUGCAACUUUUACUGAACCUUUGUUGCGAGCCCGUAACUAUGUGAAGGGAUAGAACAAAAACAGCAGUGUACGUCUCCAGCUAGAAAUACAGACAACUCCGGGUAGGCAAAUGAAGUGCCACAGUGGAACGGUUUUCGGUUAGAGAAGAUGAGCCUCAAAAGGAAGUCUCAGGCCUAGGAAGGGAGGGGGUCCGCCGAGAGGCAGCCGAGGUUGCUUGCAAAGCACUGAACAGGUGGCAUCCCAUGACUGACGUGGGUAAAUUAUGCUGUAUCUAAGCAAAUGUCUGAAGAGAUGAGGAGACUGCCUUAUGGAGUUUAAAGAAAGGUGAAAACAGAACGUCAUUCAGCAUUCGUGAGAGAAAACUUGUAGCUGCCAAGAAUAUUCUCCUUUAAAGAGGUUUGAGGGACCAAAGCAGGCAUGAAUAUCAUUGAAGGACCCCCGCCCCCAUUCCUUUCACUUUAACUGCGCAUCCGUGAACUGUUUACCUCCUUUCCCCCAAAAAAAGAGAGGUGGAAGAAAAACAUUAUUUUGAGCACUGUAAUCAAAGACCUGUACGAUCUUUUUAAAUCCUCUCAACUUCAUUGCAGUUCCAUGGUGGAGAUUAUUCCCACCUUACAGAUAAAGCAACUGAGGAUCAGAAGUAAUAAGUAACUCAUUCAAGGGUGAGUGGAGUUUGAAUACUGGGAAAGCAGAUUUCCCUCACUUCAAAUUCAUACUACUUUACCUUAUUCAACGUAUUUAACACCCAAAACGUGUGGGAUACAACCAGCAUCAAAGAUUUUCAGAAAAAAAGCUUGGCCACUUUUUGGGAAUUGAACACCUGCAGUAGUGUCCUCUCCUUCAUGUACCUCACAGUGUUUCAAUGCAGUUCACUUGCUGCGCCAGGACCCUGAUAAAUGUUUAAGGUUUGAGUGAAUUGGAGCCCACUAGCAUUGCCAAAACACCUGGAAGGGAUGUGCAUGGAAGAGAAGAGUGUUCUAUGUUAUACAUCUAUUUAAGCAGCAGUCGCUGUCUUCCAGCUGGCCCGUACCACACAAGGGACUCUCUCGGGUUGUCUACUGUGCUAUCAUCUUUCUCAUGAGCACCUGCUGGGGUCCACGGAAAAGAGCCUGGGAGAUGUGGAAAGUCUUCCAGGACUGAUUUGAAAAUAGCUGAAAUAUAUCCUGAAGAAUUUUCAACUUUUGCAAAAUUCAAAUUUUUAUUACUAUUAUGAUCCUUACCUUAUGGAUAAGGAAACUGAAGCACAGAGAGUUUAAGAAACUUGACAAAGCUUCAAAGCUAGUUGGUGGCAAAGCCAGGAUAUGGACCAAGACAGGCUGGAUCCAGAGCAUAUGCUAUUCUACCGUGUUUCAUUUUCACUAAAUUCAAGGAGGAUCACUUGGGAAGUCACUGGGACUCUAAUAGAGUGAGCCUUAGAAGGGCAGGUCACCUGCAACCUGGGCCAGAGAGGGGCAAGACCAGAGGGAGAGAAUAUAUUGCCAAAUACCUGAAAGCCCCAGUCAGAAAGGGAUGCAUAAGUGCCUCUAAGAAAUCGAGAAAAGCACCCACAAGAUAAAGAGCAAACUCUGGCCGAGGAAGGAGAAAACAUGCUUGGACUACUCAGUGGAUGUCAUGCCCUCAUCUAGGCAUCCGACUUAAGGAAUCAGAAAUGGGCCAUGAUUAUUGAGUAGCCAUGGCAGUUCAGCUGAUGGAUGAUCAAUGGACUUCAACUCAGAUGCACGGUUUGACUGACAGAAGAAAAUUCUCAUUCAGGCUAAUGGGCGACUUGAAUCGGACUCGUGGUGUUAGAAAGUGAGAAAAGGAAAGAGGCUAGAGAUUGCCUUCUUUCCUCCAGGAGAGAGUAACUGAGCAUUAUAAAGGUUUUCUGCCAAAAGCAUGGAGCCUCAGAUAAGUAAUCUCAUCCUUCACCCAUGAUAAAUAAGCUAUUAAAAAUCAAGGGAAAAAGGUAACAGUUGUAAUGUCUGAAAUGCACAGACAAUGUUGUGGAAACCUCAUUUGUAAGACCACAAGUCUUCUCCAUUGUUUAACCACAAUGCUGGAGUCUUCUCUAUUUUUAUUUUUGUUUGGAGAUUUUUCUCUUCCCCGGGCUGAAGUGCUUUGUGCAUGAGACAGAAAAGCUGCCAGGACUAGUCCAUCUGGCUGGCCAAAUGGAUUGCACUCACUGGAGCAUUGCCAGAUGUAUAUCAGUAGAAAGUUUAAUUUCUGGGCAGUCUAAGCCCUCAGUUCCUUUCUCAGUUUAAUGGAAACCUUGUUUCCAUUUUACAGAAACUCCUGCAGUUGGCCUGAGUGUUGUCACCCAGUCUUGCCUCCUAUAAUCUUGGUUCCAGUCUCCAUAGAGAUCACCCUGGUCAAAAGUCCAUCCUCUCGUCUUUAUCAAGUCCAAAGCAGUGAAAUGAGUUUGACAAAAAGGUUUAUGCCAAGUGAAAAAUCACUGUGUUACAUUUGAUUACAUUUGUCUGACCUUGAACAAUCUUAGGAGCCAGAGUAGUCAUUUUAGUUAAGUAAUUUAGUUUAAAUUGCUUAAUUAAGAAAUAAAAUUUCAUGGAAUUCCCUAGAUUAAUUUGCACUUAUACGUAAGAGCAUCAACAUUUAUAAUCAAUUUAAAGAGGAAAUAGGCCUAGAGUAUUUUAUAGUUUGCAGUGAAACCUAAUUGGAUUCAUUUGAGCUGAAAUAGGAAAUAUAGAGAGAUCUGAUAUAUUUUUAAUUUCCCACAUCUUAAGGACAAAUAAUGGGCAUUUAAUCUUUGUGAGGCAAUGAGUUUUAGAGUUGAAGUUGAAGAAAUUGUGGAUUUCAAAGAUAAACCGGCUGAUUCUCCUGUGUUCUUACCUUUUGGGAAAGGCAUUCAGCAGAGCAGGAUUGUAACAGGAACUCACAGCCCGGGCUGACCUACACCUGUGAGUAGGUGACAGUCACAGAGGAGGGUGUUUUGGCCCAGCAUAGCCCUGCUCCUGUCAGGCUUCUGUACAUGUUCUCUACCCGCACUGAUCACUCCCCUCUUUCUCUCGAAAAAUAUUUGAAAUGAGAGUGUCAGAUGUGAGUGUUUUAAGAAGAUUCUGUCUGAGGUAUAGGGAAGGGAUUUGAGGGGAAAAGGACAGAGAGAAGAAGGGAUCGUUAUUAAACUCAUGUGUCUAUCCAAAUCACAGAUCCUGAAAUUCUGAAUGGAGACAGCAGUAGUAGAAAUGGAGAAGAGGAGAUAAUUCUGGAGUUAAUAUCAAAAGGACUCAAGACAUCCAAGUUUGUCUUGGGCUGUGCUGGUUAAGGCCCGUAGUACUAUCCUUUUAUUCUCUGGUAUGUCCCAGUUUGGCAGACAGAUUUAUAUGGUUACCCUAGUGGAAGAAGGAAUGACAAUCACAUUGAGAAUUCUAGGGAAGAGAUGUGUUGGAAAUGGAGAUUUCAGACUUACUAUAUUUGAGAUGACUAUUCAUCCAUUUCCUUCAAACCUUUGUUCAAGUCUCCCUUUCUCAGUGAGGUUCCCUUAACCAUCUAAUUUAGUCCUUCAGUCCUCCCCCUUAACCCAUUCCUGAUCCCCCUUAUCUUGCCCUACUUUUUCUUUAGUCUUAGCAUUUAACAACUUCCAUGUGUAUAAUCAUCUUGAUUAUCAUGUUCACCAUUGCCUACCUGCUAUGACGGGAGCUCCUUGAGGAUAAGGAUCUUGAUCUGUUCAUGGAUGUAUUCCAAGUACCUAAAAGAGUAUGUGCUAUUUAGUAGGUAAAUCAAUGACUAUUUUUGAAUGAAAGAAUUAAUAAGUGUAUUGAAAGAACUCAAAAAAAUAUGUAUUGAAAGCCAACUAUUUUUUGAGCCCUUGUGUGUGUCCUAGUCGGAGAUGUUCAGUAGAUUCCAGGAUGCUCAAUAGAAAGUGAAUACACAUGACUCUGAGACUCGAGAGGUUGUUUGGGCUAGAAUUAUAAAAGCGUGUAUCAGUAAUAAGCAGAUUGUGUUUGUACUAUGGCAUGAUUAAUACCCCUUAGUGAAAUCAUUUUAAGAAGAGGGCUCAGGAUCGAGCCUAGAGAUUAACAACAUUGAAUGGAAACAGUGGAAAUAGCCAAUGAAAAAGCACAAUCAAGAAAGGGUAAUGUUGGGGUGCCUGGGUGGCUCAGUUGGUUAAGCGUUGACUUCAGCUCAGGUCAUGAUCUCACAGUCUGUGA